UGGGGAAUAUUGCGCAAUGGGGGAAACCCUGACGCAGCAACGCCGCGUGAAGGAAGAAGGCUUUCGGGUCGUAAACUUUUGUCUUAGGGGACGAUAAUGACGGUACCCUAGGAGGAAGCCACGGCUAACUACGUGCCAGCAGCCGCGGUAAUACGUAGGUGGCGAGCGUUGUCCGGAAUUACUGGGUGUAAAGGGCGCGUAGACGGGUGCGUAAGUCAGAUGUGAAAUACCGGGGCUCAACUCCGGGGCUGCAUUUGAAACUAUGUAUCUUGAGUGCAGGAGAGGUAAGUGGAAUUCCUAGUGUAGCGGUGAAAUGCGUAGAUAUUAGGAGGAACACCAGUGGCGAAGGCGACUUACUGGACUGUAACUGACGUUGAGGCGCGAAAGCGUGGGUAGCAAACAGG
rnacentral:rRNA from 2 species